CCUACGGGGUGCAGCAGUGGGGAAUAUUGCACAAUGGGGGAAACCCUGAUGCAGCGACGCCGCGUGAGUGAAGAAGUAAUUCGUUAUGUAAAGCUCUAUCAGUAGGGAAGAAAAUGACGGUACCUGAGUAAGAAGCCCCGGCUAACUACGUGCCAGCAGCCGCGGUAAUACGUAGGGGACAAGCGUUAUCCGGAUUUACUGGGUGUAAAGGGAGCGUAGACGGCAGUGCAAGUCUGGAGUGAAAGGCGGGGGCGCAACCCCCGGACUGCUCUGGAAACUGUACGGCUGGAGUGCAGGAGAGGUAAGUGGAAUUCCUAGUGUAGCGGUGAAAUGCGUAGAUAUUAGGAGGAACACCAGUGGCGAAGGCGGCUUACUGGACUGUAACUGACGUUGAGGCUCGAAAGCGUGGGGAGCAAACAGGAUUAGAUACCCCUGUAGUC
rnacentral:rRNA from 1 species